GACGAACGCUGGCGGCGUGCUUAACACACGCAAGUCGAACGGAAAGGCCCUGCUUUUGUGGGGUGCUCGAGUGGCGAACGGGUGAGUAACACGUGAGUAACCUGCCCUUGACUUUGGGAUAACUUCAGGAAACUGGGGCUAAUACCGGAUAGGAGCUCCUGCUGCAUGGUGGGGGUUGGAAAGUUUCGGCGGUUGGGGAUGGACUCGCGGCUUAUCAGCUUGUUGGUGGGGUAGUGGCUUACCAAGGCUUUGACGGGUAGCCGGCCUGAGAGGGUGACCGGCCACAUUGGGACUGAGAUACGGCCCAGACCCCUACGGGAGGCAGCAGUGGGGAAUAUUGCACAAUGGGCGGAAGCCUGAUGCAGCAACGCCGCGUGCGGGAUGACGGCCUUCGGGUUGUAAACCGCUUUCGCCUGUGACGAAGCGUGAGUGACGGUAAUGGGUAAAGAAGCACCGGCUAACUACGUG
rnacentral:rRNA from 1 species